UAAUACGGAGGGUGCGAGCGUUGUCCGGAAUCAUUGGGCGUAAAGGGCGCGUAGGUGGCGGGACAAGCGUGCGGUGAAAGCCUGGGGCUCAACCCCGGGUCGGCCGUGCGAACUGUUUUGCUUGAGCACUGUAGAGGCAGGCGGAAUUCCGGGUGUAGCGGUGGAAUGCGUAGAGAUCCGGAAGAACACCGGUGGCGAAGGCGGCCUGCUGGGCAGUAGCUGACACUGAGGCGCGACAGCGUGGG
rnacentral:rRNA from 1 species